UUUCAAUGCAGAAAUUUUAGGAGGACUUUGGGUGGAGGGACAAGAAAGAACAACAUAUUUGCUGGUCAGAUGUACCUUGCAGGGAACAGAAAAUAAGGAGUAGAAUCUUAAGAGCUAUGUACAUGUAUGAGUGAAAGUCAAAGAAUGACUAUAUCUAAGCAUCUCUCUCAACUACAGCACACAUGUGCAGGAGGCAGGGAUACCAGCCACCAGGAGGAAAUUGGCACAUAUGAGAUUGCUCAGACCUCAUACAGAUCUAGAACCACACACAGAUGCAGACUAAGCAGGGGGCUGAGGUUAUUGAGAUGAAGAGAAGCAAAGGAUGAGGACAGACUGAGCCAAGCCACGAACUCAACAGACCUUUACUGAACAUAUUAGUACUGGUUGAAGAAUAUUGUCUGGAGCAGAUGACCUGGGUUCAAAUUCCAGCUUUGCCACCUACUGAGAGCAUGGUCUUGGAUCUUUCAGUACAAGCACUCUGGAAAUCAGUUUGUCGAUUCCUCAGAAAAUUGAGGACCCAGCUAUACCACUCCUGGGCGUAUACCCAGAAGAUGUUCCAACAUGUAAUAAGGACACAUGCUCCACUAUGUUCAUUGCAGCCUUAUUUAUAAUAUCCAGGAG
rnacentral:lncRNA from 1 species